rnacentral:rRNA from 1 species
UACGUAGGGUGCAAGCGUUGUCCGGAAUUAUUGGGCGUAAAGAGCUCGUAGGCGGUUUGUCACGUCGGCUGUGAAAACCUGGGGCUCAACCCCGGGCCUGCAGCCGAUACGGGCAGACUAGAGUUCGGCAGGGGAGACUGGAAUUCCUGGUGUAGCGGUGAAAUGCGCAGAUAUCAGGAGGAACACCGGUGGCGAAGGCGGGUCUCUGGGCCGACACUGACGCUGAGGAGCGAAAGCGUGGGGAGCAAACAGG